GGCUCUGCCUGGCUACUUUUACCCAUGUUUUUAGAGUACCAAAAGUUUCCUCGGCGGCUCUGCCCGCCGGUCGGACUCCAUUCAAACCCUUUGCAGUUGCAGUCAGCGUCUGAUAAACAAAAUAAUUACAACUUUCAACAACGGAUCUCUUGGUUCUGGCAUCGAUGAAGAACGCAGCGAAAUGCGAUAAGUAGUGUGAAUUGCAGAAUUCAGUGAAUCAUCGAAUCUUUGAACGCACAUUGCACCUCUCGGUAUUCCGGGAGGUAUGCCUGUUCGAGCGUCAUUUGUACCCUCAAGCUCUGCUUGGUGUUGGGUGUUUGUUCCGCCUUUGCGUGUGAACUCGCCCUAAAACAAUUGGCAGCCGGCGUACUUGUUUCGGAGCGCAGCACAUUUUGCGUUCAGAUCAGUGUACACUGGCACCCAAGAAGCCUUAUUUUAACGCUCUUGACCUCGGAUCAGGUAGGGAUACCCGCUGAACUUAAGCAUAUCAAUAAGCGGAGGAA
rnacentral:rRNA from 1 species